UAGAGUUUGAUCCUGGCUCAGAUUGAACGCUGGCGGCAGGCUUAACACAUGCAAGUCGAGCGGAGAUGAGGUGCUUGCACCUUAUCUUAGCGGCGGACGGGUGAGUAAUGCUUAGGAAUCUGCCUAUUAGUGGGGGACAACAUUCCGAAAGGAAUGCUAAUACCGCAUACGUCCUACGGGAGAAAGCAGGGGAUCUUCGGACCUUGCGCUAAUAGAUGAGCCUAAGUCGGAUUAGCUAGUUGGUGGGGUAAAGGCCUACCAAGGCGACGAUCUGUAGCGGGUCUGAGAGGAUGAUCCGCCACACUGGGACUGAGACACGGCCCAGACUCCUACGGGAGGCAGCAGUGGGGAAUAUUGGACAAUGGGGGGAACCCUGAUCCAGCCAUGCCGCGUGUGUGAAGAAGGCCUUAUGGUUGUAAAGCACUUUAAGCGAGGAGGAGGCUACUGAGACUAAUACUCUUGGAUAGUGGACGUUACUCGCAGAAUAAGCACCGGCUAACUCUGUGCCAGCAGCCGCGGUAAUACAGAGGGUGCGAGCGUUAAUCGGAUUUACUGGGCGUAAAGCGUGCGUAGGCGGCUUUUUAAGUCGGAUGUGAAAUCCCCGAGCUUAACUUGGGAAUUGCAUUCGAUACUGGGAAGCUAGAGUAUGGGAGAGGAUGGUAGAAUUCCAGGUGUAGCGGUGAAAUGCGUAGAGAUCUGGAGGAAUACCGAUGGCGAAGGCAGCCAUCUGGCCUAAUACUGACGCUGAGGUACGAAAGCAUGGGGAGCAAACAGGAUUAGAUACCCUGGUAGUCCAUGCCGUAAACGAUGUCUACUAGCCGUUGGGGCCUUUGAGGCUUUAGUGGCGCAGCUAACGCGAUAAGUAGACCGCCUGGGGAGUACGGUCGCAAGACUAAAACUCAAAUGAAUUGACGGGGGCCCCCACAAGCGGUGGAGCAUGUGGUUUAAUUC
rnacentral:rRNA from 1 species